GGACGCCGGACGCCCGCCUCCCGCUCGGGGCGAGAGGAGGAGGAGGAAGGGCGACCACGGCACUCGCCCGCCCGCCCGCCUCCAGCGCCGCCUGACCGGGCGUGUCUUCAGCUCCCGCGCCUGGCCCCAAGCCUCAGGCCUGGGACCAUUCCAUCUUCCUGGUCUACCUUCGUUCGGAUGUUACCUACAUACCCUUGGACAAGAGAGGUUAAAUGAGACAGAUGGACGGAAGCCUCUCUUCUUUUCCUGCCCCAGUGGACCCAGGACAGAUGUUUGAACUUCACACGGGCCUUGAAGAAGUACCUCUUGAGGUGGAGCACUGCACACACACCUUCAUCUUUGCUACCCCCUCCACUGCCAUUAGAACAAGUGAUCAUCAAACAUACCCCUAAAGGCAAAGAACAGCAGGUACACACGACGGUCUUGGCACUGAGGAGUCGAGCUUCUCGUGGAUGAUGUUCUGCACCAUGGUGUGAAUUGGCGAGCCGUACCGAUGUCCAACUGCCCUUGGACAGUCCCCUUUACAG